rnacentral:SRP_RNA from 4 species
AACCCGGCCCUGCGCGGCAGGAUGCUUCGAACCGUGUCAGGACCGGAAGGUAGCAGCACUAAGUUGCUAACUGGGUGCCGCAGGUAAACCGGGUUUCA